rnacentral:rRNA from 1 species
GCAGUAGGGAAUCUUCCACAAUGGGCGAAAGCCUGAUGGAGCAACGCCGCGUGUGUGAUGAAGGCUUUCGGGUCGUAAAGCACUGUUGUAUGGGAAGAACAGCUAGAGUAGGGAAUGACUUUAGUUUGACGGUACCAUACCAGAAAGGGACGGCUAAAUACGUGCCAGCAGCCGCGGUAAUACGUAUGUCCCGAGCGUUAUCCGGAUUUAUUGGGCGUAAAGCGAGCGCAGACGGUUGAUUAAGUCUGAUGUGAAAGCCCGGAGCUCAACUCCGGAAAGGCAUUGGAAACUGGUCAACUUGAGUGCAGUAGAGGUAAGUGGAACUCCAUGUGUAGCGGUGGAAUGCGUAGAUAUAUGGAAGAACACCAGCGGCGAAGGCGGCUUACUGGACUGUAACUGACGUUGAGGCUCGAAAGUGUGGGUAGCAAACAGGAUUAGAUACCCUGGUAGUCCACACCGUAAACGAUGAACACUAGGUGUUAGGAGGUUUCCGCC